rnacentral:rRNA from 1 species
CCUACGGGAGGCAGCAGUGAGGAAUUUUCCGCAAUGGGCUAACGCCUGACGGAGCAAUGCCGCGUGGAGGAGGAAGGCCCGUGGGUCGUAAACUCCUUUUCUCAGAGAAGAAGAUCUGACGGUAUCUGAGGAAUAAGCAUCGGCUAACUCUGUGCCAGCAGCCGCGGUAAUACAGGGGAUGCAAGCGUUAUCCGGAAUUAUUGGGCGUAAAGCGUCCUGAGGUGGCUUACCCAGUCGACUGUGAAAGCUCAAGGCUCAACCUUGAAACGGCAGUCGAAACUUGUAAGCUUGAGUACGGUAGGGGCAGAGGGAAUUCCCGGAGGAGAGGUGAAAUUCGUAGAUAUCGGGAGGAAGGCCAAAGGCGAAAGCACUCUGCUGGGCCGAUUACUGACACUGACAGACGAAAGCUAGGGGAGCGAAAGGGAUUAGAUACCCCUGUAGUCCUAGCCGUAAACGAUGGAUACUAAGUGUUGCGCGACUCAACUCGUGCAGUGCUGCAGCUAACGCGGUAAGUAUCCCGCCUGGGGAGUAUGCUCGCAAGAGUGAAACUCAAAGGAAUUGACGG